rnacentral:rRNA from 1 species
UACGUAGGUGGCAAGCGUUGUCCGGAUUUAUUGGGCGUAAAGAGCGUGUAGGCGGCCAGACAGGUCAGCUGUGAAAACUCGAGGCUCAACCUCGAGACGUCGGUUGAAACCGUCUGGCUAGAGUCCGGAAGAGGAGAGUGGAAUUCCCGGUGUAGCGGUGAAAUGCGCAGAUAUCGGGAAGAACACCCGUGGCGAAGGCGGCUCUCUGGGACGGUACUGACGCUGAGACGCGAAAGCGUGGGGAGCGAACAGG